AUUGAACGCUGGCGGCAUGCCUUACACAUGCAAGUCGAACGGCAGCACGGGGCAACCUGGUGGCGAGUGGCGAACGGGUGAGUAAUGCAUCGGAACGUACCUUUCAGUGGGGGAUAACGUAGCGAAAGUUACGCUAAUACCGCAUAUUCUGUGAGCAGGAAAGCAGGGGAUCGCAAGACCUUGCGCUGAUUGAGCGGCCGAUGUCAGAUUAGCUAGUUGGUGAGGUAAGGGCUCACCAAGGCGACGAUCUGUAGCGGGUCUGCGAGGAUGAACCGCCACACGGGAACUGAGACACGGUCCAGGCUCCUACGGGAGGCAGCAGUGGGGAAUUUUGGACAAUGGGGGCAACCCUGAUCCAGCCAUGCCGCGUGAGUGAAGAAGGCCUUCGGGUUGUAAAGCUCUUUCGGCCGGGAAGAAAUCGCACGGGCUAAUACCCUGUGUGGAUGACGGUACCGGAAUAAGAAGCACCGGCUAACUACGUGCCAGCCGCCGCCGUAAUAC
rnacentral:rRNA from 1 species